rfam:Candidatus Chisholmbacteria bacterium RIFCSPHIGHO2_01_FTLL_48_12 rifcsphigho2_01_scaffold_24853, whole genome shotgun sequence.
AUGGAAGGCACCGGGCUUAUCGGAUAAAAGUUACCCCGGGGAUAACAGAGUAGUCGCGCCUAAGAGUUCAUAUCGCCGGCGCGGUUCGCUACCUCGAUGUCGGCUCAGCGUAUCCUGGGGCUGAAGAAGGUCCCAAGGGUCCGUCUGUUCGUCGGUUAAAACGCUACGUGAGCUGGGUUCAGACCGUCGCGAGACAGGUCGGCCUCUAUCCGCAGUCAGCGUGGGAUUCUUGAGGGAGUUGGCCUCUAGUACGAGAGGACCGAGGCGAGCCAAUCCCUGGUGUGCCGGUUGUGACGUCAGUUGCAUUGCCGGGUAGCCACAUUGGUUACGGAUAACCGCUGAAAGCAUAUAAGCGGGAAGCCGGUCCCAAGAUGAGGAAUCCAUAUCCGUGCGCGAGCACGGGUUGUAGACCCCUGGAAGACUACCAGGUUGAUAAGCGAAAGCUUGUCGUUCGCCGCAAGGCGAAGAUAGGCUGGAAGUGUAAGUGCCGUAAGGCAUUUAGCUGACCAGUACUAAUCGGUCAAGAAAGAUCUAAAG